rnacentral:tRNA from 1 species
AAAAACAUAGUAUAACAUAGUACAAUUCACUUACAUUGAAUUAGUGGUCAAGAGACCUGUUUUUA